rnacentral:rRNA from 1 species
CCUACGGGAGGCAGCAGUAGGGAAUGUUUCACAAUGGGCGAAAGCCUGAUGGAGCAAUGCCGCGUGAAUGAUGAAGGUCUUAUAGAUUGUAAAAUUCUUUUAUGUGGGAAGAAAAACUAAAGUAGGAAAUGACUUGAGUCUGACUGUACAAUGGGAAUAAGUAACGGCUAACUAGGUGACAGCAGCCGCGGUAAGACCUAGGAUGCAAGCGUGAUCCGGAUUUACUGGGCGUAAAACGAGCGCAGGCGGGUUAACAAGUUUGGUAUGAAAGGCUUUUGCUUAACGAAAGUUUGUAUCCCAAACUGUUAAUCUAGAGUGUAGUAGCGCGUUCUGGCAUUCCCUGUGGAGCGG